UAGAAGUCAGGAAAGAUUCCUUCCUUCUCUGCUUUAUUGGUCUUUCCAUUUUGUUACUUUUCAACUCUAUUUACCAUCUUCCAUUCUAAGGGCCCUCAGAGGCAACUCCUCUUCGUUUGGGAUUCUGCUGUUCAUUCUUCAAUCUUCACCGGAGAGCGAGCAAGGAAUUGAAGAGGGGCAAAUGGCAACUUCUCUUUGCUUCUUCACUCUUUUGCUAUUUCUUUCGACCAUCUCUUCCUUCUACCUCCAGGUUAUUGCUGAAGCACCAGAUUCUACACUGAAGCUUAAUUCUAGGAUCCUUCAGGAGUCGAUAAUUAAAAAAAUCAAUGAAAACCCCAAUGCUGGAUGGGAAGCUGCCAUGAAUCCUCAAUUUUCCAAUUACACUGUUGGUCAAUUCAAGUAUCUCCUUGGAGCCAAGCCAACUCCCAAAAAGGAGUUGAGGGGUUUUCCGGUUACAAGUCAUCCAAAAUCUUUGAAGUUGCCAAAAGAAUUUGAUGCAAGAAAAGCUUGGCCACAAUGUACCACCAUUGGAAGAAUUCUAGAUCAGGGUCAUUGUGGAUCUUGUUGGGCGUUUGGUGCUGUUGAAUCACUAUCUGAUCGCUUUUGUAUCCACUUUGGCAUGAACCUAUCGUUGUCUGUCAAUGAUCUCUUGGCAUGCUGUGGCUUUUUAUGUGGAGAUGGUUGUAAUGGAGGGUAUCCAAUCUAUGCAUGGAGAUACUUUGUCAACCAUGGCGUUGUCACCGAAGAGUGUGACCCAUACUUUGAUGAUAUUGGCUGCUCCCACCCUGGCUGUACGCCUGAAUUCCCUACUCCAAAGUGUGUAAGAAAAUGUGUUGAUAAGAACCAGCUCUGGAGCCAGUCAAAGCAUUACGGUGUCAAUGCAUAUAGAAUUAGCUCUGAUCCCCAAGAUAUUAUGGCUGAAGUUCUUACAAAUGGACCUGUAGAGGUUGCUUUCAUUGUUUAUGAGGAUUUUGCUCAUUAUAGAUCUGGAGUUUAUAAGCACAUUACUGGUGAUGUAAUGGGAGGCCAUGCAGUUAAGCUUAUUGGGUGGGGGACUUCUGAUGAUGGAGAGGAUUAUUGGCUUCUUGCAAACCAGUGGAAUAGAGGCUGGGGUGAUGAUGGUUACUUCAAGAUACUGAGAGGAACAAAUGA
rnacentral:misc_RNA from 1 species